UACGUAGGGUGCAAGCGUUGUCCGGAAUUAUUGGGCGUAAAGAGCUCGUAGGCGGUCUGUCGCGUCUGCUGUGAAAUCUCAGGGCUUAACCCUGAGCUUGCAGUGGGUACGGGCAGACUAGAGUGCGGUAGGGGAGACUGGAAUUCCUGGUGUAGCGGUGAAAUGCGCAGAUAUCAGGAGGAACACCGGUGGCGAAGGCGGGUCUCUGGGCCGUAACUGACGCUGAGGAGCGAAAGCGUGGGGAGCAAACAGG
rnacentral:rRNA from 1 species